GACCGCUGGGCAGACAGCGGCAUGUCAAUGUGACAACCGAACGAGCGGCUGCAGAUGCGCCUCUGAACGCGGAGGAAGGAGGAGGUUGUCAGUGCGAGGGACUCUAAAAAGCUUCCAGACGGCUCUCACCUGGUGGAUUUUGCCUCAUUCGCACGGCAAAAUCUUAACGUUAGGAGUGCGACACGCUACUAUUUAUCCAUCUGCGUUAAAAGAAGACGGCGCGCGCUUAUUUUCAUUUGCGUGGCGCGGGCUUUCCGCUCUCUGGAGCAUUGCGCUAGAUGAACGGAAUACAUGCCGCUUAAUUGACCGGAAUGACUUAUGUUGAAACGGUAGAAGUGGAUUAGGCUGAUGAUGGCAUCAUCUGUAUUAUUAAAAGAAAUUAACGACCUUGCUUCUGCCUAACUGAAACCACCGCUACCUGAUUGUGACCUUUUUACCUUUAUCUGCCCAACCAGUAAAAUUGCAUACACCACCUUCAAUCUGAAUUACGGGAGACGGGACAUCGCAUCUGUUGACAGCACAUCAGUCAGGGCCUAGGGAAGGCCCUCUGUUGGAUUGAAGUGAUCACCACAAAUGGUUGAUUAUUUUUUGAAGUGAAGUGCUUUUGCCACAAAAUUUUU